UUCACCAUAGCUCAGUCCAUAAAGCAUGAGACUUGUAAUCUCAAGGUUGUGAGUUCAAGUCCCACAUUGGGCAAAA